ensembl:lncRNA
AUAGCUUGGAGCUGCGCCUGAACCAGAAACCUAAAGCCACCUGUGUCCUAGUGAUUCUCUGGGAAGAGGAACAAACCAAGGACUGCCUGUCUUCUGUGCAUCCCUGAUCAGGCCUGCAAGAAGGCAACUAUAACUGAUACAACACAUAAAGGAGAAGUACCUUGGUAAUUGGUAAAGGCUGUGCUUGCAGAACACCAGGUGGGAAGGUUCUCUGACAUUGCAGGUUUUGCUGCGACCAGGAGAUGACUACUGUGUGCUCAGGUACUGCUUUCAUUCAUGCUGUCUGAACCUGGAGUGAUGCUACUGAUUUAAGGGAGUUUCUGCAGGCCUUCACUUUCUUAACAUAGAACUGCCAUUGCUCUGAAGUUCUAACAAUCAUGAGAAGGCAGCCAAGUUCUUUGCCACAGAGGGAAAUACAAAAUAUCAGCAGUACCAUAUAGGUUACAGCAAUGAGUCACGGUAAACAGAAGAUAUUUUUACACCUCUCUAUAUCAAUACCACUUUAAAACCAGCCAAAAUUUAAACGAUUUUCAGUCAAAUAUAUCUCUGAGAAAGUAAAUGUAAUGUAAUUAUUGAACGUAUUUGCUCUGUCUGCCUGCCUCCUUCCUGAGGCUUUAAUUGGCAUACUCAGCCUAUGCACCCUGCUUGGUAGGGUGAUGGAAACCUCUGCUGGUAAACCUGAGGAAACCUUUUUCUUUGACAGCGCUCAGAGAUACAUAAGCUAUGCUUUUAGAAGAAAUGUGAAAGGAAUCAUCAAGAAUUCCCAUCGCAUCUAGAGGCCUGGAGGGAAACACUGACCACCAAAAUGAAGACAGGGUACCUGUGGAGUAGAAACUGGAAGAGAGAACUUCUUUCUUAAGAAGGGAAUCUUCCAGUACAAAUUCUGGAAUGAAUUUGAACAGUAAUAUUUAAACCAGGAUAACCUUAGUGGGGAGAAACUUAUUCUGGGUGGAGAUCUAGAUUGAACUAAAAGUUACUGAAUUGGCCAACUUCUCACGUAGGCCUGAUGCAUCGAAACUUCUAUGUAAAGAGAAUGUAUGUUCUCAAUGUAAUUUGCAGAAGUAUUUGCUGAAGUAUAUGAACAGGAGCAAAGUGCCUAGGCACUCACCCAAAUACUACUGGGUGCUUUGUGGAACACCAACGUCGAUUGGAGCACAGAUAGCUGAGUUUUAUGAACAUUAAUGUUGAAUCUCAGUAUUACAAGAGCAGCUGACAGUAACCACUUAUGAGCACAGUCGUGUUCUUGGUACGCUCAAGUACUUAUGAUUCAUGCCAGUGUCACUGUGGGCACUUCAGCUUUCAACCUGAUUUCAUAUUCCCUUUAUCCACUGCUGGUCAGUGAAAAGUAAAUUGCUCAUGUGAAAUGAUUUAGUCACUUAAUCACCCUUGAACGUUGGUCUCUCUAAAACGUUUGUUUUGUAAUAAAGAAUUAAUAUCAUCUUUGCAGUUAGGAACAGACACCUGCAUUUUGGCCUUGUUUUAGUGUAGCAGAUCUGCUAACACAUUCUGAUCUUUGCUUAGUACCUUUUAAAGAAGGAAAGCCAGCAAAAAAAUCUCUUAUCAUAGUUGUCCUAACAAGCACUUCACUCGCUGUUGAAUAUUUCAAUAAAAAGAGCUUCUCGUACUGGAGUCAAAGGCUAUUUUGAAGAUAUUGCUCUCAUUUUAAGACAUGAAAUCUUGCUUUGCUACAUUUUAUGAUCAAGCAUGGAGGGAGUGGAUUCUGAUCCCUUCUGAUGACUGAAAAGAGGAAAGCGCUUCAUUCCACUUUCUGCAGAUGCGCACUGGAACAGUGAGCUGCAGCACAACUGCAGAACUCUUCUGGGGGUCAGGAUCCUGCCCAGCUCCAGAGUAUGAAGGCAGUGUGCAAGGAAAGAGCUCACAGAGACUGCUGAAGUGUGUGAAGAGGAAAAAAUAACACAAUGAGGAAAAAGUACAAAAAAGCAACCAGUGCCAUGAAUAAUCCUGAAAUAUGAAUAGAUAUAUGUAUUUGGACAAGGUGGGUACUGCUCAGUAUAAAACCCUCAACAGGAAAGCAGAGCUUAAAGAAGACCUAGGGGCAACGAUAGCUGAUGAGCAGCUUCCCACAGGAGUGAUGUGAUGGCUUGGAUGAUGUGGAGCAGAGCAAGCCAGGACAGCUCAUGGGCUGUGGAAAACUGAACUGAGUGAUGUGGAAUGACACUGGAUGGCACUGCAGGAUGCCUAAAGGAUGUUGUGGAAGUCAGGCUGGGACUGCGAAUCUGCUGGCCUUUUUCCACUGGACACAACAGUAGCCAAGGUUUAAAUCAACAUCCCUGAAUGAUCUCUCCCGCCAUUAGGAAGCUUUUUGCUGAGCUCAACUCUCAGCUAUGAAGGGGUGGCAGGAGGGAAUCCAGAAGGGCUGCACAGCCCAGGAGUCCAGGCUUCACUCCAGUUGGGUGGAAGAGCCCCGUGCCCCAGGACUGCACUGGCAGUGAGGAGCAUUAAACUUCUGCCUAGAGGGUGAGAGGCCAUUGGUGGUGGGGCUGGAAGUGUGCCGAAAGCAGUGCAGUGGGCUGCAGAGGAGCAUGUAGGCUUUAAUUUCUUUAGGUAUUUCUGAACUGAACAGAAACAUCAUAAAAAUGGGGCUUACCUUACAUCCAAGGACAUGCAAUGUAUAUUUGAGUUUAUGUGCCUUUCUGAGUGUAUAUGUUCUGGUAAUCUCAUUUUUGUUUUCUUCAGAUGCUAGACCCUUGGCAUGACAUGCAGCCAUGGCCUCAGCCCUUACCCAAGGUCACAAGGUGGGCUGGUUCCCUAUGGUGGGCUCUGCACUCACAGCUCUGCAGCCCAGUGCACCAACAGCGCUCAGCUCCCACGGCGGUGAGAGGCGUUAGCUAAUUAAACCUUCCCUCAUCUGUGGGAGAGAGAGAAAACCACAAUGGAGUAGAAGUGAGCAAAGGGUGUUGUGUUCCUCUAAAAGCAGCCAAGGGCCCUCUCAGAUGGUUUCAGGCUUUGAAGGUACAGACUGAGCAAAGAGCUAAAGAGAAGAUUUUGUUCUUAUUUUACGUUAAGAACUUCUGCUUAAGUGUGCCCAUCAGUGCUCUCCUGAAGCUGCCAGACUUCAGAGCAAAUCACGGAACAUUCUGAGUUGGAAGGGACCCACAAGGAGCACUGAGUCCAGCUCCUGCUGCAGCCCUUUUUGAACGAUUAAAGGAACCCUUAUUUGGCCCCCAUACCCAUUCAUUACCCUUUUCAUUCUUUCUAACCCCGAGCACCUCAAGAUGCAAAGACUUUGCUGCCUUCAGAUCUGUGCUUUCCCAGCUUCCCCAGUCAGUUUAGCAAACUGGUUAGCACAAGAUGUUACUCCUGGAUUUGUCCAUGUUUUCCUCACUGCUGAUUGCCUAGCAAAGCAGCCACCAGCACCAAGAGGGGCCGGCAAUACACUGUGCUGGGGUUGCUGACAUGGGAGGCUGAGUGCAGCAGGGCUAUCCUGGGCUGCUGCACGUCAGCCAGGGGAGAAGGAUUCUGAGAGAUUGUCUCUGAAAUUUUCCUCGUGGUGCACUGACUAAGAGGAGGAGUGUUGGCCUGCAGCAAGGUACAGCAGCAAUGGAAGGCUGCCAGAGUCAAAUAGAGGGAGUGCAGAUGCAACUGGAGCUUGUAAAGUGGCAAAUUGUAACGGCCUACAAUACAUCUAUACUGUUUUAUCUGCGCUGGUAUGGCUGUGCUGCUAAGGUUGUUACACAUCUCAGAAUCAGUUUUUGUUCUGAAAGCUGUGAAGUCUCUGAUUAAAAGUGAAUUAAUAUUGAAUGUGGCUGAAUACUGACAUUUGUGCUUUUAGAGGUGGUACAUCUUUGAGAACACUGCUAUAAAAGAUAAAGCAGUUUGUGUUAAGUGAGAAACUAAUGUUAAAAAACACAAUUCCCCUUCCU